UGGGAGCUUCUGGGGUUUUCCUGGGAGGGGUGGGGGGUGUUUUUUUUUUCUUUGUGACAGCCACUGAGAGGAUGGUGUGAUGUUCCUGGAUUGCUUUAUUAGGUGCAGAUUUGUGUGGGCUUCUGUGCCAUUUUGGAGGGUGAAGCCUGCAGUGAGGUGUUCUGCCGCAGGAAUUAGCCCAGUCCUGUGAGAAUCUUCUUCUGAGAGUGGAAGAAGGUGUCUGAGUGCUGGGGACCCUUCUCGUACACGGGAGCUGUAGCUGGGGUGUGCCCUGCACUGUGGCUAGGUUCCCACUUUGCUCCUUCCAGGCCCAUGUGGGGCUGCUUCUUGGCUUCCUUGCUUAUUAGUGCUGCCAUGCUCAAUGCAGUGAGCAGCUCUGGCAGCUGUGACCCUGUGGAGUUAGGUGAAGUCUGCAGCAACAAUUAGCCCACACUUGUGAGAAUCCUUUCUCCAGUGUGGGAAGUGCCACAUGCCGGACCCCAUUGCAGGGUGAGUGUGGGCUGUGGAAGUGUUUCUUACUGGCUCAAAGCAGUGUGCAGCUCUGGCUCUGUGGAGGUGGGUGAGGGCUGCGACAGGGCCUCCUGUGGCAGGGAUCAACAUAAGCUGUAAUGCAGGAUCUGUGCUGCAGCCCUUCUCCCUUCAAGUUCUAGGGAUGAGCAGGAUGAGGCUGUGUCCUGUUGUUCAGGCAGGGUGAAGGCUGCAGUGGGGCAACUGGUGGUGAGGAUCAGCCUUUGUGUGUGAGUGGUUUCCUCUGAGUUGGGACUAUAGAGGGUACAUUUGGAUCUGAAGGAUGGGAUGUCUGAGGAGUGGAGGAAAGCAAGCUAUGCACUCAAAGGCAGGGAGGGUUAUAAAUUUAAUUUGAUGCAUACUCACAGGCAUCUACUACAGAUCAUUGUGGUUAUCAGUGAGGAGAAGACUCGUUAAACAAAAUUCAAUGUUACUUACUGGUCCUUGAGAGGUGGGUGAAAGGCUGAGCAGGAGAAGAUCCACCUGAGUGGAUUUGGCAGGAGGAGUCAGCAGGGCCUCCCUAUACUUCAAGGUGCACUUUCUCUCUCAAAUCCAACACAGCCUCCCUCCUGCUUGGAUGGUCUCUAGGGUCUUCCACUUGUGUGCUACAUCUGUGUGGCCAGUACACAGUGCAGAGCCAGAGUGGAACAUCUGCUUGCAGAAAAGAAGUUCUUUGUAGAAGAAGUUACCCAAGUUGGCUUCCUACCCAAGUGAGAAGCGGCUCCAGACUUGAGUGCUGUUCUCCCCAGCUGUCAUGCACCCCAUGGUUCCAGUCAUGCAGCCAUCUAGUUAUGGUCUCUGUUGGAAAGCUUUGCUCCAGCUCAGGAUCAUUCUUCAGUCAGGACCUUUAGGUCCCCAAUUUAGCCACCUAUGUGGGAGAAGUUUGAUGUUGAGAGAAUUUGACUGCAGUAAUAGAUGCUACCUGAUAGAAAAAGGAGAUGUGUGAAUUUUAUGGAGGUAAGAGAGGUAAGCUGUCAAACUUAUGGAAAAAAUACUGUUGAUCUGGGCUUAGCAGCUUAAACAGUUGUAUUUAUAGGCUUGAGCCAUGUAAUUGUUGAUUCCUGCAUCAUGCUAACAGCCUAUGGCUGCAGCCCUUCAUUGAUUAAAAACAACAUGUAUCUUUAUUUACUCAUGUACUUGAACAUCCCCAAAAUUCUUAACUGCUACUAACUUCUCAGAGGGGUUGCCUGAGUGAGUGCAAGAGUUAAAGCUGCUGCUGGGAAUACCCUUGGUAAGCUAGAGCUGGCAGCGGAACAGGUAGACUUGAGAAAGGGGAUGAGCGUUUGUGAGAGAACGUCCAUGUGAAACCUAGUUAAAUGGGAAAGCACCUGGCUGUGGGGAACUUACCCUCAAAACAGGCACCCUGAGAAGUGGUGGGGGGGGGGGAGUGUGGGGCUUUGUUUCAUCAUCUCUGAAAACUGGUGGCAGAUCAGCGGUGGCUUGCUGUCCUCAGAUUCUUGGUAAAGCUUGUGCAUUCCAAACAGUGGAACUUGAAGCAGUGCUUCUUAAUCAGAGUAAAGUGAGUUAAGUUGUUGCCCUACUGCGCUCCACAAUUCUGUGCCAAAUCUGUUUUUUUAAAACAAAAACAAGGAUUAGAUAAAGUCAAAUGUGUUCAUUUACCUGUAGCAUUGUUAACAUCAGCGACAAUUUCCCUUUGUACAUCUACAUUUUAGAUAAAGACAGACAUUGGGUGAGGAGGGGCAUCUUUCUUAUAGAGUGCUGAAGCAAGGUCUAACAAUUCUGCUGAGCACCAACUUAAAAUUUUUAGCUCCUGUUUUUUUCUAAUCCACCAUCCAGUUAAAGCAAUUAGGUAAGGAUCCAUUAUCCUGAUGAACCUAAAAAAAAGUGAAAUUAUGCUUUUUGUUGGAACAUAGCGUUUAAAGGAAUUUGUCAGUUUGAUUUUUCCCAGCUUCUUUAUAAGGAAGUGAUUCAGUUUUACUUUCUGCCUGAAUGUGAUUAUACUGUUGCUCCUUAGAAUCAUUUUGAAGCAGUUGACCUUUUUUUUUUUUACACUGAACGGUUCCAAGAGUUUAAAGCUUUAACUCCUAGGAGGACCUCGGUAGCAAUCUCCCGGAUGAACCAGUGUAUUCUCCACUAUGGAAAAAAAUACCUGGCUAAGCAAUUCUGUCACUAAUAACAUCUCAAUGGCAGUCAUGGAUUGGCUGAUAAGCAUCAACUCAACACUUGCCGCCUACAAAUUUUUCUACUGCAGGACGUCUUCCUGCACCAGAGUAUUAUCCUGGUAAAGAGCAGACAACGCGACUCUGGAAGGCUUUCUGUCAGAGGCUGGGUGCUCGGAUUUGCUCUGGGAAGACUUUUCUUUUUAUGGAAGAGCUGCUCGGAUGGAUGUUUGCCUGCCUUUCACAAGAUGCAGGUAUCCCAAGGGAGCCGUUCCAUGGUCCGGAGCGUCUGAAUUCUAACAGCGGGAGCUAUCUGCCUCUGAGCAAUGAAACCGAGAGAGCCCAGUUUCAUCUUUGGUGCAGAGUGGUGAUGCUUGUAAAGGACAGGGAAGCUUCUGUGGUUAGGAAAUUAGUUUCUCUGAAUUUCCAUUUGGUUUUAUUUUGAAACUAUACUUGAGGUGCUAUUAAACAUACAGAUGACCAAGAAUCUCUGACUCGCAGGCUAUAGGGCAGUCUAUAGUGGAGUAGUUCCCAUCUUCAAAGUAUAUGAAACCAGAGGAAAAACUACAAGCUUUCUGCUAUCUUCCACUACGCUACUUGACCACCGUAUUGAUUUUUGUCUCUUACUGAAGUUUACAGUAGCGAUCGGAGCGGUGAUGUGGUACAUACCCCGCCUGACUUCUGCCUUCUUCAGAGACUGAUUUUUAAACGCAGUCACAGAGGAUGA